AAGUGCAAAUAUUGAAGUGUCUAACUCGUCAUUGGAACAGUUGCAAAUCCGCCUUAGACAACACUUAGAAAGGAAAAAGUACUUGAUGGUCUUGGAUGAUGUGUGGAAUGUAGAUUAUAGAAUUUGGGGUCAAUUGAGAAAAUAUUUGAUGGUUGGUGCAAUAGGAAGUAAGAUUUUAGUAACAACUCGUAACAAGAGAGUUGCUUUAGCUAUGGAUGUAAACUCUCCAUAUGCUUUAGGGGGCCUAACAGAAGAUCAGUCAUGGGAUUUAUUUGAGAAGCUAGUAUUUAGAGAGGGAACAAGUAGAGUGAAUCCAAAUUUAAUAGAAAUAGGGAAAAAAAUUGCAAAGAAGUGCAAAGGAGUUCCACUUGCAAUCAGAGCUUUAGGAGGCAUAAUGCAACUAAAAAGUGGUGAAAGUGAUGAAUGGUCCUCUGUCCUAGAAAAUGAGAUGUGGAAGUCGUUUGAGAGUAAGAAUGAUGUUGGUCCAGUGUUGAAAUUGAGCUAUGAUCACUUACCGAAUCAUUUAAAGCAAUGUUUUGCGUAUUGUGCCAUGUUUCCUAAAGAUUAUGAGUUUGAUAAGGAGAGGUUAAUUCAGUUAUGGAUUGCUCAAGGUUAUAUUCAAUCUUGGAGCACUCAAGGUGGAAAUGAAAGUUUAGAAAAGAUUGGAGAUAGAUACUUCAAUGAAUUAUUAUCUAGGUCAUUUUUUCAGAGGGAUAAGUAUUGUUAUAAAAUGCAUGAUCUCAUCCAUGACCUUGCACAGUCAAUAGCAGGGGAUAGUUGUUUUGUGGUAAAUGAUACUACUAAAGAUAUUCCUGAUAGAGUCCAACAUGUGUAUUUUGAGGGGCUGCCUUCUAAGGAAUGCUUGAGAAAGUUCAAAAACAAGGGGUUGAGGACACUAUUUUUUUCUCGUGAGUUAGAUAUAAAUUUAGAUAGUAUUAUUUCAAAUUGUAGAAGUUUAUGUGUAUUGAGUUUACGUGGGUGGGAUAUCAAUGGAUUGCCAGAUUCAAUUGGAAAGUUGAAGCACUUGAGGUAUCUUGACAUCUCAGGAAAUCAUAUAAUCAAAUCACUUCCAAACUGUAUUUGUAGUUUGUAUAAUUUGCAAACUCUAAUACUAACAAAUUGUUGGAAUCUUAGAGAAUUACCGAGAGACAUAAGAAAAUUGAUUUGUCUUAGAAGUCUCAUGAUUGAUGGAUGUGAUGGUCUUAAAUACAUACCAGUGUGGUUAGGGAAGUUAAAAAGAUUAUCUAGUUUUAUUGUGGGAAGGGAUCAAGGAAGGAGAUGUGCCACGUUUUACUGUUUCUGAUCUAUCAAGUCUGGUGUCUCUACCAAGGGAGCUUCAAUAUGUUACCACCCUGCAGCGUCUCACAAUCUUCGGUUGUUCUAAUUUGACAGCUUUGCCUGACUGGAUGGGCAACCUCACAUCACUUGAAUAUCUAGACAUCGAUAACUGCCGCAAAUUGGAAUCGCUACCAAAAGUAAUGCGUCAAAUCACCACUUUACAACGGUUGAUAAUUGAUGAUUGCCCCCAUUUGUCUGAAAGAUGCGGACACGAUAUGGCUGCAGAUUGGCCCAACAUUUCUCACAUCCCAUAUAUCAUGAUAGAUUGGCAUCAAAUUCAAGGGCGUGGCCGCUAUUUUUUGGAAGAAGAAGGAGACUCCUCUGCUUCCACCGAGGUACAACUAUAGAAGAAUGAUUCUACUUAGCUUUGACUAUCCAUGGGAUGGUAGAACAUAUUGCUAGCUCCAACAACAGAAUUAUAUGUUGCACACAGCAAACCUUUUUCUACUUCAGAAUUUUAGAAAGGGAAUAGAAGCAAAUGAUGUUUGUCCUGCAACAGAUGAUAUUUGGAUUUUGGAAGUUGUAAAUUACUUUAGGAUCUACUCUUCUAAUAGAAUUCAGGAAUGAAGCAAUUUUGAACUUGAAGCUUAUAUUGCACAUAUUUCCUUUUUCCAUGAUUACAAAGGAUCAUCAGCUGCUUCUACAAGGUAUCUCUCUCCAUCUGGGCUGGAAGGAUGUUGAUAACUUGAAUUAACUCUUAGAAUAGACAUUUAGAAUCAAUGUUGCAUUUUCGGAGGCAAUGAGAAUCUGCAUUCUGUCUAAAUUCUGUCAAUUACCACAUCUCUACCCCUUCGAGAAUCGAGAAGCUAGCGACUGCAGGGUGCAUUGGAAUGUAUCAUUGAUGAUGAUGAUGGAUCACAAGUCACAACUCACAACUCACCACGAUGUCAUGUUCGCCGAGCCAUCAUGCUGCAAUCCAGCCACUUUGGAGUUAGGACCAUGGAAUGUAUUGUCACCUCCAACACUUCUGAUGUUGCGUCAUUCAGAUGUUUUCAUUUUCUUAAAGCAGUUAGCUUUGAAUUAUAUUUUAAUCUAUCCUGACUGUUUUUUCUGAAUUUAAUGCAAUAUAUCCAUGUGCUAAUCCUUGCAGGAAUACAACCUGGAGCAAGGUCGGAUAUCAAAGCAACAGAUCCUAAAACGUGGAGAACUUCCUCUGGGAAAAUGAAGCUAAAAUUCUUAGAUUUUUGUAAGAAAUUUAUGUGCUGCUACAAACUAUGGAAAAAAGCGCAUCUAGUAAUCUCUAUUAGCAUCUGCUUUCAUGUAGGCACAGAGCAAGUGUGAGUUUACAUGAAAUGUUAUAAAGGGAGCUUAACAGAGUGCAUCUUGCACAUAUUCAAUCUCUGCAAUCACUCUCCAGUUCCAAAGUUUAUGAGUUGGGAUGGUCUGCCAGCUUUACACUGGUAUAUACAUUCCUGGAUCUAGCUUUACACUGCCAGUUCCAAAGUUGCUUUGCCAUUGGUUGUGUUGCAAAGAAGAAUUCUUAACUGUUUCUACAGGUUGCAUGCGCUUUCACGGCCUACUGGAAAAUCUUUUAGCAAACAGUCUCUAAUUUUAUUAUACCUUGUGCAUCUAAGUGUAGAGCAAAUGUUCUUUCUCUUGGUGCUGCAAUUUGGUGAAACUCCCACAUCUUUGCUCAAAAGAGAAACAGUGAAUUGCAACUCUGAGCCAUUGAACAAGAAAUACAAACAGCUACUAUGAUAGAGGAUUUGUCACUUGUCAAAGUUAGUUCUGGUUAUGCCUUAGUUGUUAAUAGAUAUUGUGAUAUUUUUAAAAUGUAAUUCUAUUUUAUUUUAUUAGGAGUCUGGGACUAAGGGGAAUUUCUAUGUUUAUGUCAAUUUCACCAAUUAAAUACAUGAAAUUGUAGUUUAAAUGUAACAUUUUUUUUUAUUUUACACACUGGGAUUUAUUUAUUUAGUUCUUUUCUAGAUGUUUGUAAUAAUAAAGCUAAGGUAAAAUAGAGAUGAAAAGGAUCAUCAACUACUUUUACAAGAUAUAUUUCUCCCCAUCUGUUAAGAAAAUCAACUGCCUACUUUGUUAUGUCUUCACUUUUUAUCUUUCAAGGGUCAACAAGUUUGUUUCUAUACUAUAUGCAGGGUUGGAAGGAGGUUUAAACAGCUUUUGGAACAGACAUUUGGAAUCAAUUUUUCAUUUUCAGAAGCAAUCAGAAUUUCCAAUAGAAAUCAGGAAACUGAUUGUAUAUAUCAGCAAAAUGGGAAAAUGGAAAGAGAAAACGAGGAAAACGUGUAACUGGGAAAGACAGAGAGCAAGAGGUUGAAAGAGAAACGAGACAGAGAGUGCGUGUCCUCGGUGACAAAACAGGGAGGGCUUGAGAGAGAGAGCCCCGAUAACUCCACUCAUCUGCAGCCAAAUUCCGGACAUCAAUUACCGGGAAAACGAUCCAAAAAUCAGAUUUUGAAGCUUUUUAUUUUUGAGAGAGACGGCGUUGCUCGUCAUUGCCAUCUUCUCUUCCCCUCGUUGGCAUCUUCUCUUUGACACAAAUAAUUGGUGGCGGUAGAAGUGGAUACAACAAAGACAAAUGAAGUAACUAGACUAGAAGAACAAUUAAUCAUCAUUAGAUGGAGUAAUUAGGCACAUUAAUUAGAUGGGAAAAUUAAUAUGAAUUUUGAAUUUUGCUAGAUUUAGUAAUUGAUUACUAUUAACGAACAUUUUCAGAGUGAGUUACAAAACUUUUAUAUGUUCAUUCAAUAUCUUGUAUUUUCUUUUUGUCGAAUUAAUGAGUUAUACAGUUUUC
rnacentral:misc_RNA from 1 species